UACGUAGGUGGCAAGCGUUGUCCGGAAUUAUUGGGCGUAAAGCGCGCGCAGGUGGUUCUUUAAGUCUGAUGUGAAAGCCCCCGGCUCAACCGGGGAGGGUCAUUGGAAACUGGGGAACUUGAGUGCAGGAGAGGAAAGUGGAAUUCCACGUGUAGCGGUGAAAUGCGUAGAUAUGUGGAGGAACACCAGUGGCGAAGGCGACUUUCUGGCCUGUAACUGACACUGAGGCGCGAAAGCGUGGGGAGCAAACAGG
rnacentral:misc_RNA from 1 species